AGUGAACGCUGGCGGUAGGCCUAACACAUGCAAGUCGAACGGCAGCACAGUAAGAGCUUGCUCUUACGGGUGGCGAGUGGCGGACGGGUGAGGAAUACAUCGGAAUCUACUUUUUCGUGGGGGAUAACGUAGGGAAACUUACGCUAAUACCGCAUACGACCUACGGGUGAAAGCAGGGGAUCUUCGGACCUUGCGCGAUUGAAUGAGCCGAUGUCGGAUUAGCUAGUUGGCGGGGUAAAGGCCCACCAAGGCGACGAUCCGUAGCUGGUCUGAGAGGAUGAUCGGCUACACUGGAACUGAGAGACGGUCCAGACUCCUACGGGAGGCAGCAGUGGGGAAUAUUGGACAAUGGGCGCAAGCCAGAUCCAGCCAUACCGCGUGGGUGAAGAAGGCCUUCGGGUUGUAAAGCCCUUUUGUUGGGAAAGAAAAGCAGCAGGUUAAUACCCCGCUGUUCUGACGGUACCCAAAGAAUAAGCACCGGCUAACUUCGUG
rnacentral:rRNA from 1 species